rnacentral:rRNA from 1 species
UCAUGGCUCAGGACGAACGCUGGCGGCGUGCCUAAUACAUGCAAGUCGAGCGGACCUUUUAAAAGCUUGCUUUUGAAAGGUCAGCGGCGGACGGGUGAGUAACACGUGGGCAACCUGCCUGUAAGACUGGGAUAACUUCGGGAAACCGGAGCUAAUACCGGAUAAUAUAAGGAACCUCCUGGUUCUUUAUUGAAAGAUGGUUUCGGCUAUCACUUACAGAUGGGCCCGCGGCGCAUUAGCUAGUUGGUGAGGUAACGGCUCACCAAGGCGACGAUGCGUAGCCGACCUGAGAGGGUGAUCGGCCACACUGGGACUGAGACACGGCCCAGACUCCUACGGGAGGCAGCAGUAGGGAAUCUUCCACAAUGGACGAAAGUCUGAUGGAGCAACGCCGCGUGAGCGAUGAAGGCCUUCGGGUCGUAAAGCUCUGUUGUUAGGGAAGAACAAGUGCGAGAGUAACUGCUCGCACCUUGACGGUACCUAACCAGAAAGCCACGGCUAACUACGUGCCAGCAGCCGCGGUAAUACGUAGGUGGCAAGCGUUGUCCGGAAUUAUUGGGCGUAAAGCGCGCGCAGGUGGUCCUUUAAGUCUGAUGUGAAAGCCCACGGCUCAACCGUGGAGGGUCAUUGGAAACUGGGGGACUUGAGUGCAGAAGAGGAAAGUGGAAUUCCAAGUGUAGCGGUGAAAUGCGUAGAGAUUUGGAGGAACACCAGUGGCGAAGGCGACUUUCUGGUCUGUAACUGACACUGAGGCGCGAAAGCGUGGGGAGCAAACAGGAUUAGAUACCCUGGUAGUCCACGCCGUAAACGAUGAGUGCUAAGUGUUAGAGGGUUUCCGCCCUUUAGUGCUGCAGCUAACGCAUUAAGCACUCCGCCU